rnacentral:rRNA from 1 species
UACGGGGGAUGCAAGCGUUAUCCGGAUUUAUUGGGUUUAAAGGGUGCGUAGGCUGUGAGGUAAGUCAGCGGUGAAAUGCCCCCGCUCAACGGGGUGAAGUGCCAUUGAUACUGCCUUGCUGGAAUGCGGAUGCCGUGGGAGGAAUGUGCGGUGUAGCGGUGAAAUGCAUAGAUAUCACACAGAACUCCGAUUGCGAAGGCAGCAUACCGGCGCCCUACUGACGCUGGGGCACGAAAGCGUGGGUAUCGAACAGG